UCCUGCAGUGUUAGGUGAAGCACACCUAGUUACAUACGUUCUUUUUGACCUUAAUGCACUGUAACUGCCCAGAGAUUAAAAUAACUUGAAUUGUUGCUGCAGACUUGACGUGAGGGAGGUGGGUGUUAUGUACUGUAUAGACAAGUAUAAAAUUGAUGAUCAGCUCAAAGAUGUUUAUAAUUCCUGCAGGUUAAUACAUUGAGAACAGUUAACAUCAACGUCUACAAGCUAUUUCUUCUCCAGGCUUACAGAUUCCAUGCUUGUGUUCUACGACUCCCAUUCGGCCAAAGAGUAAGAGACAACCCGUCGUUCUUUCUUGAGGUCAUCUCUGAUAUGGCUGUUUGUUGCUACUCCAUACUGAAAGCUAAAAACCGAGGGAUACCUCUAGGAUUCAAAGAUGCAGCUGGUCCUUUUCCUUACGAAGCUGCCCAUUGGCUUUGCUAUCAAGCUUUCACUGUGAAAUUGUCCAAUCACAAGGCAGUUUACAAGUGUCUACUAGGACCCCUGAGAA